UACGUAGGGGGCAAGCGUUGUCCGGAAUUACUGGGCGUAAAGGGCGCGUAGGUGGUUUGAAAAGGGUGUGGUGAAAGCCCGGGGCUCAACCCCGGGUCUGUCGUGCCGACUGUCAAACUCGAGGGCUGUAGAGGCAGACGGAAUUCCGGGUGUAGCGGUGGAAUGCGUAGAGAUCCGGAGGAAGACCGGUGGCGAAGGCGGUCUGCUGGGCAGUUUCUGACACUGAUGCGCGACAGCGUGGGUAGCAAACAGG
rnacentral:rRNA from 1 species